AUUGAACGCUGGCGGAAUGCUUUACACAUGCAAGUCGAACGGCAGCACGGGGGCAACCCUGGUGGCGAGUGGCGAACGGGUGAGUAAUACAUCGGAACGUGCCCGGUCGUGGGGGAUAACGUAGCGAAAGUUACGCUAAUACCGCAUACGAUCUGAGGAUGAAAGCGGGGGACCUUCGGGCCUCGCGCGAUCGGAGCGGCCGAUGUCAGAUUAGGUAGUUGGUGGGGUAAAGGCCUACCAAGCCGACGAUCUGUAGCUGGUCUGAGAGGACGACCAGCCACACUGGGACUGAGACACGGCCCAGACUCCUACGGGAGGCAGCAGUGGGGAAUUUUGGACAAUGGGCGCAAGCCUGAUCCAGCCAUUCCGCGUGAAGGACGAAGGCCUUCGGGUUGUAAACUGCUUUUGUAUGGAACGAAAAGGCUCUGGCUAAUACCUGGGGCUCAUGACGGUACCGUAAGAAUAAGCACCGGCUAACUACGUG
rnacentral:rRNA from 1 species